AACUUUUUGAAUCCGUGCUGAGAUUUCGUCAAACACAAACUCAUUUUUGCUGAUCAGACUCCCAAGAUAAGUGAAGUU
rnacentral:pre_miRNA from 1 species